GGAUGGGUGGCCGAGCGGUUUAAGGCGCACGCCUGGAGAGCGUGUGGGCCCCAAAAGGGCCUCGUGGGUUCGAAUCCCACCCCAUCCG
rnacentral:tRNA from 1 species